rnacentral:rRNA from 1 species
UACAGAGGUGGCAAGCGUUGUUCGGAAUUACUGGGCGUAAAGGGCGCGUAGGCGGUCUUGUAAGUCCCGUGUGAAAUCCCUCGGCUCAACUGAGGAACUGCACGGGAAACUGCUUGGCUUGAGUUCGGGAGAGGGAAGCGGAAUUCCGGGUGUAGCGGUGAAAUGCGUAGAUAUCGGGAGGAACACCAGUAGCGAAGGCGGCACUCUGGGCCGGAACUGACGCUGAGGAGCGAAAGCGUGGGGAGCGAACAGG